rnacentral:rRNA from 1 species
UACGACUACAUAUCAGGCAUAUCAAUAAGCGGAGGAAAAGAAACUAACAAGGAUUCCCUUAGUAACGGCGAGUGAAGCGGGAAGAGCUCAAAUUUGAAAUCUUCAAGGUUUUACCUUGACGAAUUGUAGUUUAAAGAAGUGUUUUCUGUUGAAGUUUUGGUAAAAGUUCUUUGGAAUAGGACAUCAUAGAGGGUGAGAAUCCCGUAUUUGACCAUUAUUUUCAGCUGUGUGAUACACUUUCAAAGAGUCGGAUUGUUUGGGAAUGCAGUCCAAAAUGGGUGGUAAAUUUCAUCUAAAGCUAAAUAUUGGCGAGAGACCGAUAGCGAACAAGUACCGUGAGGGAAAGAUGAAAAGAACUUUGAAAAGAGAGUUAAACAGUACGUGAAAUUGUCAAAAGGGAAGCGUUUGACACCAGUGUUGUUUUCUCGAAAAUCAAUUAAAAAUAGUUGGAUUUUGUGUUGUAUUGACCUUAACAGCUUGCUUCACUCUUUUCCAGCUUUUUUUAAUGCACUUUUCGUUUAGCAAGUCAACAUCAGUUUCUUUUGUUGUAAAAGGGUCAUUGGAAGGUGGCUUUCUCUUCGGAGAAAGUGUUUAUAGCCUUUGAUCUCUGCAAUCGGAGAGACUGAGGUCUGCAGCGUAGAUCCUUCGGGGUUAGAUACAUUUGUGCUAAGCUACAGCUUUUCAUAGACAACUUGUUGACUAUGUUUAGUCUUGUAACUUACCCGCUUAUGCUAUUUUACCUACGCUUAGGAUGUUGAGCGCAUGUCUCUCUCU